GAUGAACGCUGGCGGCGUGCCUAAUACAUGCAAGUCGAGCGAACAGACGAGGAGCUUGCUCCUCUGACGUUAGCGGCGGACGGGUGAGUAACACGUGGAUAACCUACCUAUAAGACUGGGAUAACUUCGGGAAACCGGAGCUAAUACCGGAUAAUAUAUUGAACCGCAUGGUUCAAUAGUGAAAGACGGUUUUGCUGUCACUUAUAGAUGGAUCCGCGCCGCAUUAGCUAGUUGGUAAGGUAACGGCUUACCAAGGCGACGAUGCGUAGCCGACCUGAGAGGGUGAUCGGCCACACUGGAGCUGAGACACGGUCCAGACUCCUACGGGAGGCAGCAGUGGGGAAUCUUCCGCAAUGGGCGAAAGCCUGACGGAGCAACGCCGCGUGAGUGAUGAAGGUCUUCGGAUCGUAAAACUCUGUUAUUAGGGAAGAACAAAUGUGUAAGUAACUAUGCACGUCUUGACGGUACCUAAUCAGAAAGCCACGGCUAACUACGU
rnacentral:rRNA from 1 species